AAAGGUGCAUGUACCGCAAACCGACACAGGUGGGUGAGGAGAGUAUCCUAAGGCCAGCGAGAGAACUGUUGUUAAGGAACUCGGCAAAAUGACCCCGUAACUUCGGGAGAAGGGGUGCCUUCGAAAGAAGGCCGCAGAGAAUAGGCCCAAGCGACUGUUUACCAAAAACAUAGGUUUCUGCUAAGUCGCAAGACGAUGUAUAGGAGCUGACGCCUGCCCGGUGCUGGAAGGUUAAGGGGAUCUGUUAGAGCAAUCGAAGCAGUGAACUUAAGCCCCAGUAAACGGCGGCCGUAACAAUAACGGUCCUAAGGUAGCGAAAUUCCUUGUCGGGUAAGUUCCGACCCGCACGAAAGGCGUAACGAUUUGGGCACUGUCUCAACAACAGACUCGGUGAAAUUGUAAUACCGGUGAAGAUGCCGGUUACCUGCGACAGGACGGAAAGACCCCAUGGAGCUUUACUGUAGUUUGACAUUGAGUCUCGGUGCUACAUGUACAGGAUAGGUGGGAGACUAUGAAGCAUGGACGUCAGUCUGUGUGGAGUCAUCCUUGGGAUACCACCCUUGUAGUACUGGGAUUCUAACCAGAGGCCAUGAAUCUGGUCUUGGGACACUGUCAGGUGGACAGUUUGACUGGGGCGGUCGCCUCCCAAAAAGUAACGGAGGCGCUCAAAGGUUCUCUCAGUACGGUCGGAAAUCGUACGAAGAGUGUAAAGGCAAAAGAGAGCUUGAUUGCAAGACAUACAGGUCGAGCAAGGACAAAAGUCGGACUUAGUGAUCCGGUGGUUCCGCAUGGAAGGGCCAUCGCUCAACGGAUAAAAGCUACCCUGGGGAUAACAGGCUGAUCUCCCCCAAGAGUCCACAUCGACGGGGAGGUUUGGCACCUCGAUGUCGGCUCAUCACAUCCUGGGGCUGUAGUAGGUCCCAAGGGUUGGGCUGUUCGCCCAUUAAAGUGGUACGCGAGCUGGGUUCAGAACGUCGGAGACAGUUCGGUCCCUAUCCGUCGCAGGCGUAGGAAAUUUGAGGAGACCUGUCCUUAGUACGAGAGGACCGGGAUGGACGUACCGCUGGUGUACCAGUUGUUCUGCCAAGGGCAUGGCUGGGUAGCUAAGUACGGAAAGGAUAAGCGCUGAAAGCAUCUAAGCGCGAAGCCCACUUCAAGAUAAGAUUUCCCACCGCAAGGUUAAGAUCCCAGGAAGACUACCUGGUUGAUAGGUCAGAGGUGUAAGUGCAGUAAUGUAUUUAGCUUACUGAUACUAAUAGAUCGAGGGCUUGACU
rnacentral:rRNA from 1 species